GAAAGAAACGGGCAGCUAAUGUCCUCCUUUGUCUCACAGCUUUCCGUUGCCUCUGUCAGUUAACCGUCAGAAGUAAUUAAGAUCUUUAAGUUAACGUGGAUCAUACCUGUUGCUUCGCAGGCUGCCAGGUGCGCAAUUUCCUGGGGAAACUCCGGUGUUAGGCAGCAGGCUUCACGGGGUUCUUGCAGCUCUGAAUGCAAAUGGCCGGUUACGCAGAACUGCCAAUUCCUGGAAGCACAGUCCUAUGGCAGAAACACAAAGGGUAACAGAAAGUUACUCAACGAAACGUGCUUAGGAGACAGUCAGCAGCUUUGACAUAGAGAAAAAAAGUCCCAAAGACAAAGUAAUCUGUAACACCUUGUACUUUAUAGGCAAGUAAGACAAGACCCAUUUUGGACAGACAAGUGUUUUCUAAGUAGUUACAAUUUUCCCCCCCCCCUGGAAUAUUUUUUGCACAGAGGCAGUCUAAACUGACUGCCCCAGGAGGUUACACUUUUCUAAUUUGUUCAGAAUAUCCUUCUAAUUUAAUUUGUCUUUCUUGGCAUGUGUCGGUAGGAAAAAUCACUUAGGGGCAUGAGGGUGAGGAAGAGCAAUGUUAAUGAAUAUUGCAGUAGUUCUGCCUGCUCAGCAUGGCCAGAAGCAAGAUUUUGUGGAUUUACUAGUGUGUACUGGCCUAAUGUGAAGACUACAUCACCUGUGAGUCAGAAGCUCUAGAUUUUAUUCCUAUUACAGCUUGUAUGCUAGGUGGGCAUACUGUAGCUGUUAUAAGACAGAUCUGCCUACUAGCAAAAUCGAGAAUUAGGGUAACAUCAACAGUGCUCCACAGUUCAGCAUAGGCCACAGCAUUUGCUAUACUGUCAUUAUCCCCUUGUAGCAAAAUAAACUUUUUUGUCCUUUCAGAUUUACAAAAUCUUUCAAAACUGUUCCACUUAAAAACGUUUUCCUCAAAUACUGAAAAGCUGGAAAAAACAACCUGUAAAUAAAAUCACCCUGCUUAAGUCAA